CUCUGACCAAAGCAAGGACUUCAUCUACCGUGAGGGCGCGGGGCAAAGAGCCUCCAUUCAACCGCUGCCAGUGACGACUGAGUCCCCCUUCCACGCAACGGCCGGCAGGACCAGUGAGACUGAGGGGGAGGAGCGCCGUGGCGAGAGACUGGCGUUUAUAAUCAAACCUGUGGUCCCGCGAUCCUACUUGAGGGAAAACAGGCUAUCUCUUUAGCCCCGCCCCGCGCUUUGCAUUCUGGGAAGCGGAGUUCCAGCCUUUCUCUUUCCGCGGGAGGGAAUGAAAGGGAGGGUAGACUGAGAACGAAUCAUCUCAGUACAACUGGGAAUUUAGCCACAUAGGGGUUGGAUUCCACCGCAAGUAAAAAGUGGUGGAUGUGCCCAAGACACAGGGAAGAAAAAGAAGUAAACAGGGAAGUACAACACAGACUCUGAAAUGGGGCAUCAUGGAAGACGGAGCUUUGUCGUCUUGGUCUUUGCUGUAUAUUCACUUCCUACAACAGUGCUAAAUACCUUGUGGAUGCUUAAAUAUAUUAAAUGAAUGCAUAAAUGAAAAGAGUAAAUAAAGAGUGUAUAUGAAAGUAUGUAGAUAAAAUUCUUCACUAAGCCUUGGGGAUCCAGCUGCUUAAGGACUAAGACCGUAUCUAGCUCCUUUUAGUAUUUCCACAGCAUGCCAUGGAGAUACAUGUUUCUGAUUAUAUAUGAUACAUGGAAAUUAUAUGUUGUUGAAUGAGUGAUUGAGUAAAUGUGUACUAGGGCAGCUAAUCAUAAAUAUUUCUACUAUUGCUAAAAUGACUGGAUUUAUCCAUUCCUUCUGAGAGUUUAUACUGAUUGCUUAUAUUGUAUCAAAUACCGUAACUGAGGGCAAUGUUUACUCAAACUAAUAGCACCAUUCAAAUUUAUGCAAACAAUAACACUAUAUCUUUAAAAUGUUUUCACUAAAAGCUGCAUAAAGAGUGUAUUCAACAACAAUAGAAUAAUUUUACAAUCUUUUUUCUUGCUUAAUGGCCAUUUGUGCCUUCUGACAUGCUGCUAGCCAUUCAAAGGUCACACUACCUUGAAGUUGAAGAUCAAGACA
rnacentral:lncRNA from 1 species